UACGGGGGGGGGCAAGCGUUGUUCGGAAUUACUGGGCGUAAAGGGCGCGGUAGGCGGUGAAUCGGGGUUGAAAGUGAAAGUCGCCAAAAAGUGGCGGAAUGCUCUCGAAACCAAUUCACUUGAGUGAGACAGAGGUGAGUGGAAAUUCCUGGUGUAGCGGUGGAAAAUGCGCAGGAUAUCAGGAGGAACACCGAUGGCGAAAGGCAGCUCACUGGGACGGUAACUGACGCUGAGACGCGAAAGCGUGGGGAGCAAACAGG
rnacentral:rRNA from 1 species